rnacentral:rRNA from 1 species
UACGGAGGGGGCUAGCGUUGUUCGGAAUUACUGGGCGUAAAGCGCACGUAGGCGGCUUUGCAAGUUAGAGGUGAAAGCCCGGGGCUCAACUCCGGAACUGCCUUUAAGACUGCAUCGCUAGAAUUGUGGAGAGGUAAGUGGAAUUCCGAGUGUAGAGGUGAAAUUCGUAGAUAUUCGGAAGAACACCAGUGGCGAAGGCGACUUACUGGACACAUAUUGACGCUGAGGUGCGAAAGCGUGGGGAGCAACAGG